AAGUUCAUUAGCAAGUCGUAUUUACCCGUUAGGUGAAAUAAAGAGAUAUAACUUUAAUUCUACUUCAACAUAAAAUUUUCGAAAAUUAUGGGUAAAAAUAAAUCUUGCGACCCACAACGCAACUCCCAGGCUGCGAAAGACCAAUUAUAAGGCGCCAUAAAAAAAGUAUAAAACAUUUUCAUCGCUAUCAAACAAUACAAUAUGUUCUCAGCUGUUUGGAGCUGCCAAAUUUAAUUAACCACGAGCACAGAAUGCGAAUUUAUGAUACGAACGCUUCGCAAACUUCAACAGUCAGUAAUAAUAGCCUUUGCAGUGACAACUGUUCCUUGACGGAGACUCACUUUAAGCAUCAGUUGUAAACAUUCUGACAGACCAGGACCGACAUGUUCAAGACAUUGCUUGUCUUGAUGAUCGUAUGCUUCGCAUCUGUAUACAGUUCCCCGUUUUUAUAUCAGCCGCCAAAUGGGAACUGUGAAUGCAUACACCCAGAGCACUGUGGCCAUUAUAACAAAUGCCAAGGUGCCAUCUGCUCUCUAAUCAGAUCCUGUUGUCUUUGUAGUUGUGAAACAGCUGUUUGCAAAGCCGAGGAUAUUUUCGGCUGAUUUUGAUGAAAUCAAAGAUGAAUUAAACUAAUUCAUGAAAUGUGGCAUGUACUGAACGUAUAAAACGAAUAAAACUGGGUUAAACCAUUUGUAUCACUAGAUGGGUUGUGGGUAUCUUACUAGUGGAUAAGAAACAAAGAAAUGUAGUACAGUCCUGAUGGCUAUAAAAAAUCGUCACGGUAACAGUAAUGUCGAGGGAAUAGAAAGCAGGGCACUUAUUUCAUAACACCAUUGAGUCAAGAGUAGCUGUAAUAUUUAUCUUGUCUAUGCAUUAUAACUGCCACUGUGUGUAAGGGUAAUAGAAGGUCUCAAUACUUUAUAAUUGUUUAGUUUUACAGUGUUUUUAAUUUCCAUUGUUUUUGUUUGUUUUGUUUUUAUCCUAUACGAAUAUUGGAAUUGAACAAAAUCCACCAUUUAGCAGAUCUGUAACAGAAUGAUAAAAAUUGAGGACGAACGUUAAGAGAGGUAGUCCCUCUUGCAGGCCUUAUUCCGACUGUAGUUCUCCUCGCGUUAUCAAUUCCUAGAUUACACCCGACUUUUUAAAUCCCAAGAGGAUCUAGACAUAGUUAAUUUUUAGACGAGAAUUUACACCUACCCGGCUCUACACGCAUUGACAUCCUCCAAGUUAAAAUAUACGCAACGCGCGCGCUAACAUCCUCGUGGGAACAAGGUACCGGCUAUAGGAGAAUCUUUGCUGACGUGAUUGUUUACAUUUUUCCUCUUUAACAUACGACUACGAAUUAACUACAAACAUUGAAAGAGCUUGUGAAACUUCGUGAUUGGUGACAUUUGUUGCUCUUUCGGUGUAAUAUUUGAGGAUAAAUUGGCUUUCAAAAACUGCAAAAUUUCUGGGUGGCAAAAGCGCUAAUG